rnacentral:rRNA from 1 species
CGCGGCCUAUCAGCUUGUUGGUGGGGUGAUGGCCUACCAAGGCGGUGACGGGUAGCCGGCCUGAGAGGGCGACCGGCCACACUGGGACUGAGACACGGCCCAGACUCCUGCGGGAGGCAGCAGUGGGGAAUAUUGCGCAAUGGGCGGAAGCCUGACGCAGCGACGCCGCGUGGGGGAUGACGGCCUUCGGGUUGUAAACCCCUUUCACCAUCCACCAAGUUCCUGGUUUUUGCCGGGGGUGAGUGUAGGUGGGGAAGAAGCACCGGCUAACUACGUGCCAGCAGCCGCGGUAAUACGUAGGGUGCGAGCGUUGUCCGGAUUUAUUGGGCGUAAAGGGCUCGUAGGCGGCUUGUCGCGUCGGGAGUGAAAGCCCGCUGCUUAACGGCGGGUUGGCUUUCGGUACGGGCAGGCUGGAGUGUGGCAGGGGAGACUGGAAUUCCUGGCGUAGCGGUGGAAUGCGCAGAUAUCAGGAGGAACACCGGUGGCGAAGGCGGGUCUCUGGGCCAUUACUGACGCUGAGGAGCGAAAGCGUGGGGAGCGAACAGGAUUAGAUACCCUGGUAGUCCACGCCGUAAACGUUGGGCGCUAGGUGUGGGGCCUGUUUCCACGG